rnacentral:rRNA from 1 species
AACGUAGGAGACAAACGUUAUCCGGAGUUACUGGGAGUAAAGAGCUCGUAGGCGGUCUGUCGCGUCGGCUGUGAAAACUCAGGGCUUAACCCUGAGCUUGCAGUGGGUACGGGCAGACUAGAGUGCGGUAGGGGAGACUGGAAUUCCUGGUGUAGCGGUGAAAUGCGCAGAUAUCAGGAGGAACACCGGUGGCGAAGGCGGGUCUCUGGGCCGUAACUGACGCUGAGGAGCGAAAGCAUGGGGAGCGAACAGG